rnacentral:lncRNA from 1 species
UGGUUAUGGGGCACCCCGAGGUGCUAUGGGGUGCCUUGAGGGUGUUAUGGGGUGCCUUGAGGUGGUUACGGGGCACCCCGAGGUGGUUACGGGGCACCCCGAGGUGGUAGGGGGUGUCUUGAGGUGGUUAUGGGGCACCCAAAGGUGCUAUGGGGUGCCUUGAGGUGGUUAUGGGGUGUCUUGGUGGUGUUUUGGGGUGCCUUCAGGGUGUUAUGGGGCACCCUGAGGUGCUACAGGGUGACUUGAGGGUGCUAUGAGGCACUUCGGGGGUGUUAUGGAGCACCCUGGGGUGGUUAUGGGGGCACCCAAAGGUGCUAUGGGGCUCCUGGAGGGUGUUAUGGGGGCACCCCAAGGUGCGACGGGGCACCCCGAGGUGUUUCGGGUGCGGAAGUCCUGGAGAUGCCCACAGGCAACGGGGUCAGGCCUUGGGCAUGGGGAGCACCCAUGGGUCACCGGGAGCACCCAUGGGUCAUGGGGAGCACCCAUUGGUCAACAAGAGCACCCAUGGGUCAUGGGGAGCACCUAUUGGUCAACAAGAGCACCCAUUGACCUUGAAGAGCACCCAUUGGUCAUCAAGAGUAAUAAUUAGUCAUGGCGAGCACCCAUGGGUCACCAAGAGCACCCAUUGGUCAUCAGCAGCACCCACCGGCCUUGAAGAGCACCCAUUGCCCUCGAGGAGCACCCAUUGGCCACA